rnacentral:rRNA from 1 species
GAUGAACGCUGGCGGCGUGCCUAAUACAUGCAAGUCGAGCGAACAGACGAGGAGCUUGCUCCUUUGACGUUAGCGGCGGACGGGUGAGUAACACGUAGGUAACCUACCUAUAAGACUGGGAUAACUUCGGGAAACCGGAGCUAAUACCGGAUAAUAUUUCGAACCGCAUGGUUCGAUAGCGAAAGGUGGCUUUGCUAUCACUUAUAGAUGGACCUGCGCCGUAUUAGCUAGUUGGUAAGGUAACGGCUUACCAAGGCAACGAUACGUAGCCGACCUGAGAGGGUGAUCGGCCACACUGGAACUGAGACACGGUCCAGACUCCUACGGGAGGCAGCAGUAGGGAAUCUUCCGCAAUGGGCGAAAGCCUGACGGAGCAACGCCGCGUGAGUGAUGAAGGUCUUCGGAUCGUAAAACUCUGUUAUUAGGGAAGAACAAACGUGUAAGUAACUGUGCACGUCUUGACGGUACCUAAUCAGAAAGCCACGGCUAACUACGUG